UUUCCUUUUCCAUUUGGGUAAGGCCUAUAUAUAUAGUGUUACCUUAGUGGCAAAUUUGUAUGGUAUUUUUAUUGCUUCUUUGCUGGAUCACGGAUCACAUUCAGAAUAUCAAUUUGUAGCCUAGCUUCAAACACUUGCUUACAAUGUCUUUCUCUUUGUGACCAGUCCGCCGUGAUGGAAAACGUUAAUAUUCCAACAAAAGUGCUUCCGGAUGCUACGAUGAGAGAGCUUGGCCUUCCAAGCGCAGCUUACUCAACACACAAGGCAAGGACCUCGAGGCAAGUGUUUAAUUCUAUCCAUUGAGUACCAGCUAAAUAAUGAACUUGCAAAGACAUUAAUAUCCAUCUAUGUCUAUGAAACUGGAUGAGUCUGAAGAUUGGCUGGCAGACGAACCUCUUAAAUACAUGGAAGCCUCUUACAACAAAGUGCUGCAAGACAUCAACUAUGAUAAGUUGCAGUUGGUUCAACAAAAAGUAAAUCUCUGGAACACGAGCUGAAAGAAAAAGAUGGAAUCAUAGACUAUCUGAGCAGCAGCUGGUGGAUGAUGUCUAUGGAAGGCAUUUCUGCUUUUGCCAAUUACAACCCGCCGAAACACACCCACCAUGAAGAGCAGCUUAGAUGAUGAGGUCAUUUUCGACACGGCUGCUGAAGGAAGCACGUCCAGAUUAGUUCUCUGGAUGGUGAGGUUAGAUUAAUUGACCACUAUUUCUAUUUAACUUCUCCUGUACACAAUAUUCACAAGUUCAUGUAUUAAGUACAUUUUAUUGUGUCACUUGUGUUUACUCCUUUUUUAAUGCAAGUUUACAGCUACUCGGAGUUCCUAAUUGCAGACUCAACUAUCUUGACCUACCGAUGAUCUAAUUUGUGGCAUUAAUUAUUACCUUAAGAAAAUAUUUGCAUUUAAUUUCACUUAUAUAUAGGGGUAUAAGUUCUUACCAAAUGUACUCAAAUAUACAAUUACUGAAAAAAUGCAAAUAUUUUCAACACGAACAUGGUUUUAAACGGGUCUUUGCGCCAUUUGGCGCAACUGGUCAUCUAGUAGAGCAAACCAUCCAGGGUCCCUUCGGUGCAGUAAUCAUCUCUGAAUAGGUGAGUACAGCUUCAGCUUCAGCUGCAUGCUAGGUGUUUGUUGUUUGCUUUAGCAGUGCUUUGGUUGCUGCAAAUCUAGCAAGUUGCCUGACAGCUCCAUAUCUCAUCGUCUGCAUGAUCUUCAGCAUCGCAUGUGACAGCCAUUCCUGGUAUCUCCAUUGCAUUUUCCUAUGGGCCAACCAGUUGGUAACCAUCAGGGCCAGAAUGGCAUCAGGUCCAUCUCUAUGGAGCUGUCACUAGUUCAUGUCACUAUUUUUGUUUUCUGGUGGCUUUUGUUCAUGGACUGCAGUAAUGUAAGUUGCAGCGCAGGGCUCACUUUGUUAGUACCUGAAGUUUACUUGUAUUGUCCAUGACAGUGACUUAAUGAUGAGGGCAUCUCAGUACCUCAUGUUGUUCCCAUGAAGGAGGAGGUGAAGCCCAACUUCAGGACUCCUCCAAGUUAGAGGUGUGCCAAAGGGGGUGACCGAACCAUGUACUUGGUCGGUUCUAGUUUUAUCUAUUUUUAUUUCCAAGUCUUGUUAUGGGCCACUUAGGAUUUUUAUUUUGUGUAUUUCGGUGUGGGCCUGUCCAACCGAUUAGUUUUCUAGAUGCCUAUAUAAGGAGGCUAGUGGCUAGGUUUAGAGGGGGUGAAAUUUUUAGAUUGAGUUUUGAACAUUGUGUCCACGUGGUGAAUCAUCCCUCCGGGGACGGCGCUGCUAUUUAUCAAAUAAAGUGAUGAUUGCAUGAA